rnacentral:rRNA from 1 species
GAUGAACGCUGGCGGCGUGCCUAAUACAUGCAAGUCGAGCGAACAGACGAGGAGCUUGCUCCUCUGACGUUAGCGGCGGACGGGUGGGUAACACGUGGAUAACCUACCUAUAAGACUGGGAUAACUUCGGGAAACCGGAGCUAAUACCGGAUAAUAUAUUGAACCGCAUGGUUCAAUAGUGAAAGACGGUUUUGCUGUCACUUAUAGAUGGAUCCGCGCCGCAUUAGCUAGUUGGUAAGGUAACGGCUUACCAAGGCGACGAUGCGUAGCCGACCUGAGAGGGUGAUCGGCCACACUGGAACUGAGACACGGUCCAGACUCCUACGGGAGGCAGCAGUAGGGAAUCGUCCGCAAUGGGCGAAAGCCUGACGGAGCAACGCCGCGUGAGUGAUGAAGGUCUUCGGAUCGUAAAACUCUGUUAUUAGGGAAGAACAAAUGUGUAAGUAACUAUGCACGUCUUGACGGUACCUAAUCAGAAAGCCACGGCUAACUACG